rnacentral:miRNA from 1 species
GUAAGAAGGGGGAUGAGAGGUCAUGUAUCUUCUCAGGGGAAACAGGCUCCUUCUGGAGCCCUUCAGCAGGGUCAGGGCCCCUCACCUUCCCCUCCUUUCCCAG